UCCACGUGCUCUGCUGUGUUCUACUCCUACACCUGCGACUAUAAUCCCCCUCAUCGCCAGCCCCCUCGUCUCGUCUCCCCCCUCCGCUUCGCCCAUCUCAUCGCCAUCUCACUCCCGAACCCACUUCCUUUCCUUCCCGCGUCUAAUUGAGCGCCAAAGCGGGGGGCAUUUGAAUUCCCCGGAACUUCCACUUCCAGUGGCUUCUCGAACCUUCCGGAGGCGCUGCCGGCCGGCCGGCUCCGGCUCUACUUCUUCCCCCUAGGGUUUCGCGUUUCCCUCGGGGAUGGGGGACGCCCCCGCCGCCGCGGCGGCAGCGUCGCCCGCUUGUGCCGCGCAGAAGCGGAGACGCGGCGAUGAUGGCGCGGGGCUGAGGCGGGUGGCGGAGAUCGUGAUGGUGUUGGCCGCGGCCGGGGAGGUGCGCGGCGGGAUGGAGCCCACGGCGGCGGAGCGGGCACUCGCGGCCGAGGCACGGGAGACGCUGGCCGCCGCCGUUGCCGAGGGGGCCGUGCGGCCCAAGGAUCUGUUCUCGGUGGAGGCGGUGCGCGCGGUCGUCGAGGAUCUCGGGCUCAACCGCGCCAAGGACCCAGCUGCCAUGGGGUUUCGCCCGCCCAAGGCCUCCAUCGCCGAUAGGCUUAUGCUUACUAAGCGCAAGAUGGAAGAAGUGAAGGAAGCUCCAGUGCAAUCAACAGUUAGCGCACCUCAAACAGUCGUUUCAAGUGGAAUGUCUGACUUCCAUGGUUUGAAUGGGGCUACUAAGUUUGGUGUUGGAGUUCCUAGGGACCCACCAGUUCCAUCUAUAACCGCUAGUGCCCCAUUAACCUCUACAUCCCCAGCUACCUUGAAACCACCAGAAUCAUUUCCUGUAAAACCAGUUUCCAACUCAUCGGUUGUUCCUGUACUCUAUUCUGGUCCAUCAAACCUUAAAUCGGACAAAAAUGUCAGUGGUCCUCUGAAUUUAGCACACACUGGAGCAACUGUUGUCCACUCAAACAAGUCAACUGUAGAUGCAUCUGCUAGGUCCAGUGUAAAUGCUUCCAAUCAGAUGGUGAAAAACCAGGACACAAAACCAGUGACAGUUCAAGCCAUGGCAGGUAAUCCUGCUACGGGGCAUCGUGCUACACCUACUUUCAUCAAUCACAAUGAGAUAGCAAAGAAUGUUCAACAGUUUCUGCACCAACCUGCAAACAAUCCUAGCUGGACUCCACCAUCAACUGAUUACAUGCAUUCUCGCUUGAGUUGUCAAAUAUGCAAAGUUGUUAUCAUUGGUACAGACAGUUUACUUGUUUGUGAUGCUUGUGAGAGGGGAGUACAUUUGAAAUGCCUUCAGCAGUAUGGCAAUAAGGGUGUCCCUAAAGCUGAGUGGCAUUGUUCUGCAUGCCUGACUCAGAGUAAGGGCAAACCCUUACCACCAAAAUAUGGCAAGGUUACAAGAACUGUAGUUGCAUCAAAGGCUGCUCCACCUGGUGGUGGGGCACAGCUUUCUUUGCAGGGAUCAGCAGAAAACAUGGCUUCAAAGGAAAAUCACCAAAAGUUGGCUGCAAAUGGGAAUCUUAUGAAACCAAUCUCUAUUCAAGGUGGUAGCACAGCACCCAACAGUAAUGUAUUGGCACUGAGUGCCAUCACGGCUGGUUCACAAUCACAAUUAGUUUCUACCUUGAGACCAUCAAGAGUUGUUAAAGCUGAAAUGUUCUCUAUUGGAAAAGAAGGAACUGGGCAACCGUGCAAUACUACAAUACAACCAGCUGUGAGAUCAUCCCCUCUUAACAAAAGAUUGAGAAGUGAUUCCUCUUUGAACCCUGCAGAUUCCGCAAAUGAUAUCAUGCAUGGUAAGUAUACUACAGAAAUUUCCGGUGCUGAAGCAAAGGUCAAGUCUGAAGUGAACUAUGAGGCCUCUGUGAGUAGAGAUGAGGAAUUGGUUGAUAGUAGUGGAACAUCAAUUGAAACUGAACAAACAAAGGUUGGUGCUAGUGAAGAAAAGCCCAGGACACAAUCAACCUUUGAGACAGAUAAAGUGAAAGAUGGGGGGACGACUACCAACACAGGAACAGCAACAGAUCAAUGCAGCAACUUCGGUACUGAAGAAAAUCUCCCCGGUGAAAUAACUUCUGAGGCACAUAAAAUCACUGACGUGAAGAUGACUAGCAAUACUGGAACAUCUGUACAGCAAAGCAACAUUGAUAGUAUUGAAGAGAAGGCCAGCCAGAUCGAUGCAGUUUCUGAUCCACAUGCACAUAUAAUCCAAGAUAUGGGAAUGGACACCAACAAUGGACCACCAGUAGCUGAAAGCGGCAGUCCUGUUGCUGAAGAAAAGCCCCCCGAACAAUCCUCUUCAAUUGGUGAUGUGUGUGUCACCGCUAAUGCUGGAAUUCCAACAGAUCAAACACAACAUCCAAAUGGGUCAACUGAAAAUGUAGUCAGGAAAUCUCCCAACAGAGAACUAUAUGAAGAGAAAUCAGGCAGGCUGUAAUGUAGUCUCACCCAAAGGACAAAACUUUAUGUUUUCAUGAAGAUGAAGCAGUGGGUUGUGACACAGAAGCAAUAGAAAAGGCAAACUAAUUUAGUAGGAGGUUGCACCAAUUUUCGUUUUUUUUUCAGAUGGAACUAUGCUGAAUCUACCAUUUAUUUACCAACAUCAGUGAUCAACUGUGUUCUCGACAUUCUCUUGGAUAACAUUAUACAUUUAGCCAUCGCCAACCAUUUUUACAGGAUGUUUAUUCUAUGCCCCUUGGAAACAUGCUCACCAGACCUACUCCAGUCUUGUUCAGGCUUUGUUUGGUAGCAAGUGUAAUGGAGGGGGUUAGGAUUCCUUACUAUUGAAAAUUGAAUAGUAAGGGAUUCUAGCCCCCUCAAUCCCCUCUAUUACACUCGCUCCCAAAUAAGGACAGAAGGUUUCACCACAUUUUCUGCAAAAAUAGUUACGUUCCUGCUGACGUAAGGGUUACUAAAUUCUGCAGGAAUCCACUGUCGCCCUGUGUGGUAAGAGAAUCCUAGAACACAGGAGGUAUAAUCGUGAAGUUGUACUUUAUGUAGAUUGAUAAUCUUGAGUUCCUAAUUAAUUCCGUUUCCCCUUCUAUUUGUUCUGUGCUCGACUGUAAUGUUGUAAUUAGAUAGGUUUUAGCUGAGUUAGGACUGGAUUAUCAAGUCACAAUAAUGAUAUUUGUCUUCGCCAUCA